rnacentral:rRNA from 1 species
AAUGAACGUUGGCGGCGUGGAUUAGGCAUGCAAGUCGAGCGAGAACCCCGCAAGGGGGGACAGCGGCGCAAGGGACAGUAAUGUGUAGAUCAUCUGCCCUCAGGUCCGGGAUAGCUGCGGGAAACUGCAGGUAAUACCGGAUAACAUCUCCGGAUCAAAGGUGUGAUUCCGCCUGAGGAUGAGUCUGCAUCCUAUUAGCUAGUUGGCAGGGUAACGGCCUACCAAGGCAUUGAUGGGUAGCGGGUGGGAGAGCACGACCCGCGUCAUUGGGACUGAGACACUGCCCAGACACCUACGGGUGGCUGCAGUCGAGAAUCUUCGGCAAUGGGCGCAAGCCUGACCGAGCGACGCCGCGUGUGGGAUGAAGGCCUUCGGGUUGUAAACCACUGUCAGAGGGGAUGAAAUGCAGGUGGGUUCUCCCAUCUGUUUGACAUAGCCUCAGAGGAAGGACGGGCUAAGUUCGUGCCAGCAGCCGCCGCCG